AACGUGCCCAGUCGUGGGGGAUAACGUAGCCGAAAGCUACGCUAAUACCGCAUACGAUCUAUGGAUGAAAGCGGGGGAUCGCAAGACCUCGCGCGAUUGGAGCGGCCGAUAUCAGAUUAGGUAGUUGGUGAGGUAAAGGCUCACCAAGCCGACGAUCUGUAGCUGGUCUGAGAGGACGACCCAGCCACACCGGGACUGAGACACGGCCCCAGACUCCUACGGGAGGCAGCAGUGGGGAAUUUUGGACAAUGGGCGCAAGCCUGAUCCAGCAAUGCCGCGUGCAGGAUGAAGGCCUUCGGGUUGUAAACUGCUUUGUACGGAACGAAACGGUGAGCUCUAAUACAGUUUGCUAAUGACGGUACCGUAAGAAUAAGCACCGGCUAACUACGUG
rnacentral:rRNA from 1 species